rnacentral:rRNA from 1 species
AGAGUUUGAUCCUGGCUCAGAUUGAACGCUGGCGGCAUGCCUUACACAUGCAAGUCGAACGGUAACGCGGGGCAACCUGGCGACGAGUGGCGAACGGGUGAGUAAUGCAUCGGAACGUGCCCAAUAGUGGGGGAUAGCCCGGCGAAAGCCGGAUUAAUACCGCAUACGUCCUACGGGAGAAAGCAGGGGACCUUCGGGCCUUGCGCUAAUAGAUGAGCCUAAGUCGGAUUAGCUAGUUGGUGGGGUAAAGGCCUACCAAGGCGACGAUCUGUAGCGGGUCUGAGAGGAUGAUCCGCCACACUGGGACUGAGACACGGCCCAGACUCCUACGGGAGGCAGCAGUGGGGAAUAUUGGACAAUGGGGGGAACCCUGAUCCAGCCAUGCCGCGUGUGUGAAGAAGGCCUUUCGGUUGUAAAGCACUUUAAGCGGGGAGGAGGCUACUUAGAUUAAUACUCUAGGAUAGUGGACGUUACCCGCAGAAUAAGCACCGGCUAACUCUGUGCCAGCAGCCGCGGUAAUA